CAACGGCAACUUCACGUAUGCACAUCCGUACAAUGCAUUAAAGGCUUCGAGAGUGUAUGCGGAAAGUUUUCCGAAUCGGGCUCACCCGUAUCCACAAUUAUUCACGCAUUUACAUCUGUACCUCAGAACAAAAAAUCGACUGACGCCAGGAGGCUAUGAGGAAUGACAGCAUGAGGUGGCAGAUCUUGCCGAAGAAGGUAUUUUAGAACGAGUGGAGAAUGAUCCAAUGAUGAGCUGUCGAUUACUGGAGAAAGCAACCGGUGUCUUGAAAUCGGCGGUGAAUCGAAUACUCCGUUUCAAUUUUUUGCAUCCAUAUCAUUAUACGUCUGUCCAGAAUCUUCAUCCAGGGGAUGCAGAAUUGUAUAGACAAUUUUGUCGACAUUUGCUGGCCUUGACGAACCAUCAUAAAAAUUUCCUAUUCAAUAUCUUACGGACAGACGAAAAUCUGUUUACAAGAACAAAAUCUUCAACCAGCAUAAUUUACAUUAUUAUGCUGACGAAAAUCCCUACGUAAUGAGGAUAAGGAAUUUUCAGCAUCGCUAGAAAGUGAACGUAUGGGGCGGAAUUGUCGGACAUCAGGUCUUCAUUUAUUAGUUUCCGAACGUUUUUAGAGGUGGAAUAGUAUGCUAUUUUUCUCGAGGAGAUCCCUUCCGGAUUUGCUGGACGAUGUCCCGUUUGCAAAUUGACCUCGUCGAUUGCAGCAAGAUGGCGCACCACUACAUAAUACUCGGCAUAUGAGGGAAUAUCUCAACAUCCAGUUUCCUGAACGUUGGUUUGGUGUUGGCGCUCCGUUCCGCUGGUCUCCACGGAAACUAUUUAUGCAAAAGAACCAGAGAACGUGGAGGAACUGAUUGCUCGACUACACGCUGCCGUAACAAUGAUGGAUGCCGAAAUGAUUUGCCAUGUAAGAAAUGAAACUGUCCGGAG